CAGUAGCCGCGGUAAUACGAGGGGAGCUAGCGUUGUUCGGAAUUACUGGGCGUAAAGCGCGCGUAGGCGGCUUUUUAAGUCAGAGGUGAAAGCCCGGGGCUCAACCCCGGAAUUGCCUUUGAAACUGGAAAGCUAGAAUCUUGGAGAGGUCAGUGGAAUUCCGAGUGUAGAGGUGAAAUUCGUAGAUAUUCGGAAGAACACCAGUGGCGAAGGCGACUGACUGGACAAGUAUUGACGCUGAGGUGCGAAAGCGUGGGGAGCAAACAGGAUUAGAUACCCGCGUAGUCCCUGUCUCUUAUAC
rnacentral:rRNA from 1 species